rnacentral:rRNA from 1 species
GAUGAACGCUGGCGGCGUGCCUAAUACAUGCAAGUCGAGCGAACAGACGAGGAGCUUGCUCCUCUGACGUUAGCGGCGGACGGGUGAGUAACACGUGGAUAACCUACCUAUAAGACUGGGAUAACUUCGGGAAACCGGAGCUAAUACCGGAUAAUAUAUUGAACCGCAUGGUUCAAUAGUGAAAGACGGUAUUGCUGUCACUUAUAGAUGGAUCCGCGCCGCAUUAGCUAGUUGGUAAGGUAACGGCUUACCAAGGCAACGAUGCGUACCCGACCUGAGAGAGUGAUCGGCCACCCUGGAGCUAAAUCACGCUCCAGACGCCUACGGUAGGCAGCAGUCGGCAAUCUUCCGCAAUAGGCGGAAACAUGACGGAGCAGCACCACGUGAGUUGUGAAGUUCUUCGGAUCGUGAGGCUCUGUUAUGCGGGGAGAACAAAUUUGUAAGUAACUAUGCACGUCUUGACGGUACCUUAUCAGAGAGCCACGGCUAACUACGUG